AUUAAGAGAGUUUCGGAAAUUUUUUAAACUAAAUUUUGAUCUGUGUUAUAGUACCGAAUUUCUGCGCUGUAGUCUGUUCUCUAAGUAAAAACGGGUACAAUCAAAUGCAUUUAACAACAUUCAGAGAUGUCGAUAAACUUAAAAAUAAGACUUAAUGAAAAAAAAUUUAUAUUCAUUGCUAUCACUAAAGAUGAUGACUUAUGGGGAAUUAAAAUGUACUGCUCCAGAACUGAUACAAAUGAGAGCAGAUUAUUUGAGGUAAAGAAAAUUGGAAAACUUAGUGGUGUAAUUCCAACAUGUUUUGGAAGAAACAGUAGAUGCCUCUACUUUAAAGAGAAAUCGAGUUCUUUACCACAACCAACAUCACCACUUAAUAAAUGUAACUUUAUUGGAAAGUUGAAUUCUAAUGUAAUGGAAGAGUUACACGUGUUUUUAAAUAAUAUCUUAUCAGAAAGGACAACACAUAGAAAUAAUUUACAUUAUGAUUUCAACCACAAACCACUUACAAGAAAAAUGAGCUGUGAUCAGUUCCAUAUGUUCCAUGUUACGAGCAAUAAAAAGAAACCAACUGCUUCUGAAACAUGUUUAUAUGAUUUCGCAACUCAUCCAAAACAACGAAACUGUGUUAUAAAAUACGUUGUCUCUCCUUUCGCUAUAUUAAAAAAGGAUGCAAAAUUUCUUAAAUUCAGAGAUAUUAUUGUACGUCAUCCAAAAUCAUUAGCAGAAUUAAUGCCUAAAGUUUUAGAAACAUAUCCUGGUCUUAUUCAUUUUAUUCGAUGUCACUCCGAAGAGUUUCUAAAACUUCUCUGCGAAAAUGUGUAAUGAUUUGAGAACGAAGAUGUAAAACCCAAAUUAAAAAUAGAGUAUUUGUAAAAACCUAAUGAAAACCUUAUGGUAGACAAAUAGCAAAGUCUUUAUAGUUAAUAAUAUUGAAUUGCACCACGGAUCCUGCUAUUCCCAAUACUGCUACAUCAUUAGUUUCUUCAAAGCCGAUGAACUAAACAUUUUUCCAUUGAAUCUGGAACUAACUUGUAGAUCCGAGUAUGUGAUGAUUGAAAACUGCAUGACAAUAUCACAAAUUUGAAUUAUUCCUGAGCUAAAAGUAGGUAAUCAUACAACUUGACUUUUUGAAAAUUGUACAUCAUAGCGUUCAGGUGACUUUUUUACCCUGAAGAAUCUACGGUUUAGAAUUCAUUUUGGGCAGACGUUAUAAGAUGACGUGAACACUCUAUUCGGAGCAGCAGCUAAAUUUCGAUGUUUUCAUUAUUGUUUAAUGUACAAAAAAAAAAUAAAAAUAAAGUAAUGCUAAUUAUA